UUUAAAUGACAUGCACGUACAUGUACAAUGCAUCUCAAAAUUUUCUUAAAUUUGUUAAAGAUUACAUGAUUAUCAUUUUGAAUUUUACCAUGCAGUAAAGAAGCUCCAAGAAGAAAAGAAUGAAUUGGGUCAACAGUAUGCAGCAAAAAUAGAUGUAUUAGAAGAAGUACAGAAAGAGGAGAGAGAUACUCUGACACUUAAACUGUCACAAUUAGAGAUUGGUUUGAGAGAAAUAGAGACACAAUGGAAAGAGAAGUAUCGUGGGGACAUUGAAUUAGAGCAACAAGAACUGUACGAUGAGAAUCAA